UGGUUAUUGAAUUUGAUGGGUAAUGAACCGCUUGAUCGCUAACUCAUGAGCAAAGCCGCCUUCGGCCCUUCGCUUAGUAAGCCCCUCUUUGAGCCUCUACUGAAUUCCGCUCGCCCCGGUCCUUAGUAGCGUUGACAAAGGCAACCUUUGGAUGUUGUGACGCUUUGGUUAGGCGCGGUUGACAAAGGCAACAACACAAGCAAGGAGUUGACAAAGGGGAACAGCCCCCCUAUUGUUGAUAGAGAGCUUACCGCCCC
rnacentral:lncRNA from 1 species